GGCUGGUCCGAUGGCAGUGGGUUAUUAACAUUAGUGUCACUAAAGUUGGUAUACCACACCCCCCCCACUGCUAAAUUUGCCUAGCUUAAA
ensembl:misc_RNA Y_RNA Y RNA